CCUACGGGAGGCAGCAGUGAGGAAUAUUGGUCAAUGGACGCGAGCCUGAACCAGCCAAGUCGCGUGAAGGAUGACUGCCCUACGGGUUGUAAACUUCUUUUAUACGGGAAUAAAGUCAGGCACGUGUGCCUUUUUGUAUGUACUUUAUGAAUAAGGAUCGGCUAACUCCGUGCCAGCAGCCGCGGUAAUACGGAGGAUUCGAGCGUUAUCCGGAUUUAUUGGGUUUAAAGGGAGCGUAGGUGGGUGGUUAAGUCAGUUGUGAAAGUCUGCGGCUCAACCGUAAAAUUGCAAUUGAUACUGGUAGCCUAGAGUACAGUUGAGGUAGGCGGAAUGCGUGGUGUAGCGGUGAAAUGCUUAGAUAUCACGAAGAACUCCGAUUGCGAAGGCAGCUUACUAAGCUGCCACUGACAUUGAUGCACGAAAGUGUGGGUAUCAAACAGGAUUAGAUACCCGUGUAGUC
rnacentral:rRNA from 1 species